GUGUUCCUGUAGUGCAAUGGACAGCCACGUUGGACUUCUAAUCCAAAGGUCGUGGGUUCGAAUCCCACAUGGCAUG